rnacentral:rRNA from 1 species
AAUACCCAGUCGAGCGGCGAACGGGUGAGNAACGCGUGGAUGACCUGCCCUUCAGCGGGGAAUAACCCGGGGAAACUCGGGCUAAUACCGCAUACGACCGCGAGGUGAAAGGGGGCCGCAAGGCUCUCACUGAAGGAGGGGUCCGCGUCCGAUUAGCUAGUUGGUAGGGUAAUGGCCUACCAAGGCGACGAUCGGUAGCCGGCCUGAGAGGGUGAUCGGCCACACUGGAACUGAGACACGGUCCAGACUCCUACGGGAGGCAGCAGUGGGGAAUUUUGCGCAAUGGGCUAACGCCUGACGCAGCAACGCCGCGUGGAGGAUGAAGGUCUUUGGAUUGUAAACUCCUGUCAGCAGGGAAAAAGCGAGUCGACCUCAUACGUCGGUGAGUUGAUUGUACCUGCAGAGGAAGCCCCGGCUAACUCUGUGCCAGCAGCCGCGGUAAUACAGAGGGGGCAAGCGUUAUUCGGAAUUAUUGGGCGUAAAGGGCGCGUAGGCGGCCAUUCAAGUGACGGGUGAAAGCCCUCGGCUUAACCGAGGAACUGCCUGUCAGACUGGAUGGCUUGAGACCGGGAGAGGUGAGUGGAAUUCCCAGUGUAGCGGUGAAAUGCGUAGAUAUUGGGAGGAACACCAGUGGCGAAGGCGGCUCACUGGACCGGAACUGACGCUGAGGCGCGAAAGCGUGGGGAGCAAACAGGAUUAGAUACCCUGGUAGUCCACGCCGUAAACNAUGAGUGCUUGGUGUAGCGGGUAUCGACCCCUGCUGUGCCGAAGUCAACACAUUAAGCACUCCGCCUGGGGAGUACGGUCGCAGGACUGAAACUC